rnacentral:rRNA from 1 species
GGAUCGUAAAGCUCUGUUGCCAAGGAAGAACGUCUUCUAGAGUAACUGCUAGGAGAGUGACGGUACUUGAGAAGAAAGCCCCGGCUAACUACGUGCCAGCAGCCGCGGUAAUACGUAGGGGGCAAGCGUUGUCCGGAAUUAUUGGGCGUAAAGCGCGCGCAGGCGGUUCUUUAAGUCUGGUGUUUAAACCCGAGGCUCAACUUCGGGUCGCACUGGAAACUGGGGGACUUGAGUGCA